rnacentral:rRNA from 1 species
UACGAAGGGUGCAAGCGUUACUCGGAAUUACCGGGCGUAAAGCGUGCGUAGGUGGUUUGUUAAGUCUGAUGUGAAAGCCCUGGGCUCAACCUGGGAACUGCAUUGGAAACUGGCUUACUAGAGUGCGGUAGAGGGGUGUGGAAUUCCCGGUGUAGCAGUGAAAUGCGUAGAUAUCGGGAGGAACAUCUGUGGCGAAGGCGACACCCUGGACCAGCACUGACACUGAGGCACGAAAGCGUGGGGAGCAAACAGG